rnacentral:lncRNA from 1 species
GUUAGAGAGCAGGCUUGGAGCUCAGCUGGGAGGAGAGCCCAUCAAACUAGGGUGGGGUGAAGUGGGAGGGUCUGGCUUGGCCAGAGCAGGGCCAGGGCGUGGGGACAGGGAUGGCAUUUUGACCUGAAUGUCUAGCUCCAAGGGCUCCGUCCUUCACGCCAGGCCGUGUUCCCCACAGAAGCAUCAAUUCUAAUGAUAGAAUGCACUUUGCCAACCAGCUGUCCUGAGAGACCUGGGCCUCCCUCAAUUCCCUGUCACCGAGUCAGACCCUCAGACCCCUCGGCCAUGAUGGAUGGCCCUGAGCUGGCUUUCAUGCAUCUCCGUCUUCCCCAGAAGCUGUGACACAAGUAAUUGGUGUCACCUCCGUGUUCGCAUGCCAAGUGCUGACAAAACAGUCCGUAAUAGGGGCCUUGGAGCUGUGCCCUUGACUGGGAUGGCGGGGGGGUGGGGGGCUGUCAGGAAUGGGGCCAGGGCAGCCCAGGGCUCUCGGGGGACCCGAGAAGGUGGCAGUGGCCAGGGGAUCAAACGCAAAGGUGCCCCGGUCCCACCGAGGAGCAGCAGGUCCCAUGUGUUCCUCCAGCCAGCUCUGCAACGCCCUGUCUUCCUGCCUGUCACAGUGAGGCUACCUGGAAAAGCCAGCCAUCGCCUUUUGCCAACUUCUCUCCAGGAAGACACUGGGCAAGAACUACUCCGUGCAUUGAGAAUCAGAAAUAACACUUUGAUGUUUUUUCUCCUCCGGUCGGGCGGUGUUUUGUGUAACAGGGGUGUUUUCUUUCAUGAAGACUCUGUCAUGUCAUGGGUGUCUGGUUGGCCCUGGGCUUCAUAGCCACAGCGCUCACUUCUGUGACCUGCCCCUCACUUCCGGCUCCAUUUUAGCCCCCUGGUCUUCUUGGGUUCUCGUGUUAUAUUGUUUGCACCUCCUAGGUGACUCUAACGCCUGUUGGGUGGAAGGUGGGGCUGGGCUGUGCACAAGCAAGCCCUUUCUAGUGACCUGGAGAGGGCACAGGGACAAUAUCCCUUCCCUGGUCUCCACCUGCCCCGUGCCAUCCUCCUGCAGUCCCCAGUUCUGGCCAGAGGAUGGACUGCAUGUGCACACUUAUCCACGAGCUGUAGUGACCACAGCACCCCUGUCAUCAGCUGCCUGUCCUGCCUGAGGCAGAGGCAGCUUCUCUUGGCGACCCUCCCUGGGCACCUGCAGGGGAUUUAGCCAUUGCCACAAGUUGGCCUCAUGCUUGGCCGAGGCCCCGGGUAUCCAUCUAGUGUCUCUGGUGCCCGAAAGGGUUAAGGUCAAGGGUAGGAGGGAGCUGGAGGGCACUGGCACAGGGCGCUCCUGGGAGCCCUUGCCUUGCAGGCCAUCCCCGACCCCA